UACGACGGGGGCUAGCGUUGUUCGGAAUUACUGGGCGUAAAGCGCGCGCCGGCGGCCUUGCAAUUCAGUGGUGAAAUCCCAGAGCUUAACUCCGGAAUUGCCAUUGAGACUGCGAGGCUUCGAGUACGGGAGAGGUGAGUGGAAUUCCCAGUGUAGAGGUGAAAUUCGUAGAUAUUGGGAAGAACACCGGUGGCGAAGGCGGCUCACUGGUCCGGUACUGACGCUGAGGUGCGAAAGCGUGGGGAGCAAACAGG
rnacentral:rRNA from 1 species